UCCCGGCAGUCCAAGUCGCAGCCACAAUUAUUGGGUCUAAAACAUCCGUAGCUUGCUUUGUAAGUCUCUUGUGAAAUUCUGUCUCUUAAGGGCAGAGAUUGCAAGAGAUACUGCAGAGCUAGAGACUGGGGGACGUAAGGAGUACAUUCGAGGUAGUGGUAAAAUACGUUAAUCUCGAGUGGACUAACACCAGCGAAGGCACCUUACGAUAACAGUUCUGACAGUGAGGGAUGAAGGCUAGGGGCGCAAAAUG
rnacentral:rRNA from 1 species